GGGCGGUCUUGGUCCUGUUGUGGGCAAGGGGCUCCCGAGCCUCGGUUUCCACCCCACGAAACGGGGACCAGGACCCCCAAGAGGUCAGCUUGGGGUGAGAGCCAGCGAUCCUGGGUAAAGCCCGGGACCCAGAGCUGAGUGCACAGCAGGUGCUGGAAUAAACAGGGCUACGGUUGGGGCCCAGGAAAACAUCCAGAGUACCUGGAGCCAGGCUGCCGAACGGGGCCUGACUCCGCCAUCACUACUGGGGUGUCUCCUGAGCCCCCCUCCCAGUCGGACCGUUCCCAAACCCACCGGCGCCAAUCACAAAGCAGAGGAGGAAAGCGAGUCGAUGCCGCGCCCCAAAGCCCCACGCUUGCUUUCACCCAAGACAAGUUUCUGCAAGGAGGCAGGACUGUCCUGUCGCCCGCAGCGCCUGGCUGGGGAGGGAGACGCUGCUCACACCUGACUGGGAGGAACAGACCCGGGAGAAGCGAGCUGCUGAGGACCCAGCCCAGGGACCCGGAGAGACUUGAUGGUGAUUCCCAGGAGGUCGAAGGGCUGCAUCUGAAACACAGCGCGCGUCCUCGUGAAAAGGCUGAAGACGUCCCUAGGCCCUUGCGUGGACUACACAGCGUGCCGCCCCCCGGGGUGACUGUGAAAUCAAUGGUGGUGAAAAUGAUAACAUGGCAAGUUAAUGGGUGUUUCUACGAUUUCAUAAAGGUGGGAACCUUGCUAUGAAAAUGCUGGCUUCUCAACAGACGGCGUGAAAACAAUCAGAUACAGGUAGCAUCAGCUGGAGGCCCCGGGGGCCUGGGCUGACAAGCUGGGGGAGAAGGCCCUGGUCCAGGUCCCUGCUGGGCCUGCUAAUGCUCUGGAUUCCCAGGAGGGGUACCAGCGCGGUGUCGGGGAGCCCAGGCCAGCAGCUGGUG